CAAGUACUCCCUCCAUCCGGAAAUACUUGUCAUCAAAAUGGAUAAAAGGUGAUGUAUCUAGAUGUAUUUUAGUUCUAGAUACAUCCUUUUUUGUUCAUUUUGAUGACAAGUAUUUUUGGACGGAGGGAGUAAUUA
rfam:Triticum aestivum genome assembly, contig: Triticum_aestivum_CS42_TGACv1_scaffold_515790_6BS